AAGGCCCAGACAGCCAGGAUGUUGGCUUAGAAGCAGCCAUCAUUUAAAGAAAGCGUAAUAGCUCACUGGUCGAGUCGGCCUGCGCGGAAGAUGUAACGGGGCUAAACCAUGCACCGAAGCUGCGGCAGCGACACUAUGUGUUGUUGGGUAGGGGAGCGUUCUGUAAGCCUGUGAAGGUGUACUGUGAGGUAUGCUGGAGGUAUCAGAAGUGCGAAUGCUGACAUAAGUAACGAUAAAGCGGGUGAAAAGCCCGCUCGCCGGAAGACCAAGGGUUCCUGUCCAACGUUAAUCGGGGCAGGGUGAGUCGACCCCUAAGGCGAGGCCGAAAGGCGUAGUCGAUGGGAAACAGGUUAAUAUUCCUGUACUUGGUGUUACUGCGAAGGGGGGACGGAGAAGGCUAUGUUGGCCGGGCGACGGUUGUCCCGGUUUAAGCGUGUAGGCUGGUUUUCCAGGCAAAUCCGGAAAAUCAAGGCUGAGGCGUGAUGACGAGGCACUACGGUGCUGAAGCAACAAAUGCCCUGCUUCCAGGAAAAGCCUCUAAGCAUCAGGUAACAUCAAAUCGUACCCCAAACCGACACAGGUGGUCAGGUAGAGAAUACCAAGGCGCUUGAGAGAACUCGGGUGAAGGAACUAGGCAAAAUGGUGCCGUAACUUCGGGAGAAGGCACGCUGAUAUGUAGGUGAAGUCCCUCGCGGAUGGAGCUGAAAUCAGUCGAAGAUACCAGCUGGCUGCAACUGUUUAUUAAAAACACAGCACUGUGCAAACACGAAAGUGGACGUAUACGGUGUGACGCCUGCCCGGUGCCGGAAGGUUAAUUGAUGGGGUCAGCGCAAGCGAAGCUCUUGAUCGAAGCCCCGGUAAACGGCGGCCGUAACUAUAACGGUCCUAAGGUAGCGAAAUUCCUUGUCGGGUAAGUUCCGACCUGCACGAAUGGCGUAAUGAUGGCCAGGCUGUCUCCACCCGAGACUCAGUGAAAUUGAACUCGCUGUGAAGAUGCAGUGUACCCGCGGCAAGACGGAAAGACCCCGUGAACCUUUACUAUAGCUUGACACUGAACAUUGAGCCUUGAUGUGUAGGAUAGGUGGGAGGCUUUGAAGUGUGGACGCCAGUCUGCAUGGAGCCGACCUUGAAAUACCACCCUUUAAUGUUUGAUGUUCUAACGU
rnacentral:rRNA from 1 species